CUAUAUCCAUACCUGUUUUGGUCCCUCUGAAUAUAUUACUUCUACUACCGUCGUCAUCCAUUAUGGCUUGGGAAGGGAACUAAGAAGAGAGGAAUAUGAUGUCAGUGGAACAGCAAAGCUUGCCUGCAUUUCCUCCCAGGAACAUAGGAGAACCAAGCGCUAGGCCUAGAGCCUAUGUGAAAUGUAUGAAUUGCUCUGCAGUCUGUAGGAGAGAGGAUAAUCUUUGGUACAGGGUCCUUGUCCAAAUAUGCAAAGCCGCAUUCAACAACAGUAAAUCAACAUAAGAAUGCAGGGACAAGAUGAUGCAGAUACGCCCAAUUCAAAACAUUUGCAUUAAAGUGGUUUGGGUGAUCUUUAUUUU
rnacentral:lncRNA from 1 species